AAAAGCGGCGCACGUGGUCCGAGAAGCAGCUGGCGUGCACAAACUUCUGGGCGCCCGGAAACAGUUUGUGGGCGCCCGAAAGUACAACUGACAGAUCUGUCCGAGGCUAUAAAUAGAUGGUAUUGAGGCCUCACUUUAAACAACUUGAUAGUUCAUUUUGAGCUUAAAAACUUCAGUGAUCUUAAUACUCUUAGCUCUCAAUUCUCUCUCUAAACUUGAGUGAAAUUUGUAGUGAGAUUUAAUCUUGUAAAAAGAGAGAGAAGCAAAUUCUUGAAGCUUGAAAGAAGAAGGAGUUGAUGUGAAGGCUUGGUGCUUGCCCGCAAAAGCAUCAUCUAGUGGAGAUCCAACAUUCUCGAGUGUUGAGAAGUUGGCGGGGACGUAGGCAAAGUGCCGAACCUCGAAACAAAUUGAUCGUGUGUUUUUCGAGUUUACAUUUCUUUUAUUUGCAUCGGUUUUUU
rnacentral:lncRNA from 1 species